rnacentral:lncRNA from 1 species
UCGUUUAUAACCGUCGAAAAGUUUUGUCUCGUUACUUGAUCUCUGAAUAUUUGUUUUUUGCAAUUUUUGGCAUAUGCAAUCUCGAAGUAUAUACAAACAUGUUUAACGGUUGGAUCGUUGAAACUAGUUUCGUAGAAUGCGUAUCCCAUCAAAACAAUAGAUUCACUAACACUUAAAGAUUUUAUUCAUACUUUCAUCAAGUAUAACAUAAGAUUUUGUGGUAUCCACUAGUGUAAAUAUUUUAAAUUGAAGAUCGAAUUCAUUCAUUGUAUUUAUAUAGGGUCAAGGAGUGUAGCUGUAAAAAAGCAUCAAAAUCGGAGUUAAAAUAACCGUUAAAUCGUGAUUUUUCGUUUAUAACCGUCGAAAAGUUUCGUCCCGUUACUUGAUCUCUGAAUGUUUUUUUUUUGCAAUUUUUGGCAUAUGCGAUCUCGAAGCAUAUACAAACAAGUUUGACGGUUGGAUCGUUGAAACUAGUUUCGCAAAAUGCGUAUCUCAUCAAAACAAUAUAUUCACUAACACUUAAGAGUUUAUUAAUAUUUUCAUUAAGUAUAACAUAAG